rnacentral:rRNA from 1 species
AAUCAACGCUGGCGGCGUGCCUCAGACAUGCAAGUCGAACGAUUAAAGCUCCCUUCGGGGAGUGCAUAAAGUGGCGCACGGGUGAGUAACACGUGAGUAAUCUAUCCUCGAGUGGGGAAUAACGUCCGGAAACGGACGCUAAUACCGCAUAAUGCAGCGGCACCGCAAGGUGACAGUUGUUAAAGAUUUAUCGCUUGAGGAGGAGCUUGCGGCAGAUUAGCUAGUUGGUAAGGUAAUGGCUUACCAAGGCCGCGAUCUGUAACCGGUCUAAGAGGACGGUCGGUCACACUGACACUGAAUAACGGGUCAGACUCCUACGGGAGGCAGCAGUCGGGAAUUUUGGGCAAUGGGCGAAAGCCUGACCCAGCAACGCCGCGUGAAGGAUGAAGUAUUUCGGUAUGUAAACUUCGAAAGAAUGGGAAGAAUAAAUGACGGUACCAUUUAUAAGCUCCGGCUAACUACGUGCCAGCCGCCGCCGUAACAC